rnacentral:rRNA from 1 species
GACGAACGCUGGCGGCGUGCUUAACACAUGCAAGUCGAGCGGUAAGGCCCUUUCGGGGGUACACGAGCGGCGAACGGGUGAGUAACACGUGGGUGACCUGCCCUCAGCUCUGGGAUAAGCCUGGGAAACUGGGUCUAAUACUGGAUAUGACUCCACGGUGCAUGUCGUGGGGUGGAAAGCCUUGUGCGGCUGAGGAUGGGCCCGCGGCCUAUCAGCUUGUUGGUGGGGUGAUGGCCUACCAAGGCGACGACGGGUAGCCGGCCUGAGAGGGCGACCGGCCACACUGGGACUGAGACACGGCCCAGACUCCUACGGGAGGCAGCAGUGGGGAAUCUUGCGCAAUGGGCGAAAGCCUGACGCAGCGACGCCGCGUGA